rnacentral:misc_RNA from 1 species
GAAGCAUGCAAUGAUUUAAAUCUAGCAAAAUCAUUCACAUCGUCAGAACUUGGGGAUUUUCGUAUAGAGCUACAAGCACAGGGGAAAAUGGCUGGGUGGGUGAGUAUUAACCAAAACUUAACACUAAAAUCUCACCAGUAGCAAAUGGUAACACAAACCAAAGAAAAAUGAUACAUGGAAUAAAUUUGAGAAGUCGAAACCUCGAAGCUCAACAGAGAAUCAGGUGAAGUUGUGGAACUCGACCAAUAACCCUCUCGAGCCUGAUUUUUGAAUUGUCCUCAUUGUCGAAGGCUUGUGUUGGAGAAGACGAGAGGGGACCCGGGUGGUCUCGAUUUCAACGAAGGGGGAAGAGAGGGAAAGGAAGGUGUGGAGUCGGUGGUGUUUUAGAGUAAUCGGGUGGUGGAGAGACGGAUGAGGUGCGGUGAGAGAUCGG